rnacentral:rRNA from 1 species
CGCGGUGAAUACGUUCCCGGACCUUGUGCACACCGCCCGUCAAGCCAUGGAAGCUGGGUGUACCUAAAGUCGGUAACCGUAAGGAGCCGCCUAGGGUAAAACUAGUAACUGGGGCU